ACCUACGGGAGGCAGCAGUGGGGGAUAUUGGACAAUGGGGGAAACCCUGAUCCAGCGAUGCCGCGUGAGGGAAGAAGGUUUUCGGAUUGUAAACCUCUGUGGAGGGGGACGAUAAUGACGGUACCCCUUUAGGAAGCCACGGCUAACUACGUGCCAGCAGCCGCGGUAAUACGUAGGUGGCGAGCGUUGUCCGGAAUUACUGGGUGUAAAGGGAGUGUAGGCGGGAAAGCAAGUCAGAAGUGAAAACCCGGGGCUCAACUCCGGGAGUGCAUUUGAAACUGUCCAGCUAGAGUGCAGGAGAGGUA
rnacentral:rRNA from 1 species